AGAGUAUAAUGCAGCCAAGGAUGACUUGCCGGAGGGUCGUUCAUCAUGCAUAAUAAUAUUGGUGAUGAACAUAAUUCUGGCAAGUUGUCCUUCGGCUACAUUUUGCUCUCU
rfam:Brassica oleracea var. oleracea cultivar TO1000 chromosome C9, whole genome shotgun sequence